AGUCGCGUGGUCUAAUGGUUAUGAUUUCUCGUUCACAACAUUGUGAGCUUCGCUACCACCAGUAGGAUUCCGAGAAGGUUCCCGGUUCGAUCCCGGGCGCGACUA